UCCUUUCUUGUUUUACUUUCACUAAACAUUAUUUUAAAAUUAAAAUUUUCACUUUUUUACCUUUUAUUUAUUAUUUUCGAAUUUUUUAUUAAUUUAUUUUUAAUAAAUAUUAUAAUAUUCAUUUUUUAUGUUUUUAAUAAAAAAAUUAAAAUCAAAAUAUUUUCUUAUCAUUAUUAUUAUUAAUAGUCUAUUUUAUUAUUUAAAAUAAAUUAUUUAAUUUUUUAUUCAAAUGCACAAAGCCAUGAAUCCAUCCAGAUUCAUUGAUUUGAGCUGUAAGAAAAAAGAGAAAAUCGGGUCAAAUUAAAUCUUUCUAAAAAUAGAUAAUCUCAUUCAAUUCUUGAUCUAAUUCUCCAUCUAUAAAUAGCACACAAAUUCACACUUU
rnacentral:lncRNA from 1 species